GAUGAACGCUGGCGGCGUGCCUAACACAUGCAAGUCGAACGGAGGCUUACUUACGGGUGGAUCUUAGUGGUGGAGGGGUGCGUAAGGCGGAGGUAACCUGCCCAGUCUAGGGGGUCAACAGCUGUAACGGGCGGCAAAUACCGCUAAUACCCCAUACAACGUACGGUUCAAAGCAGAAAGGCGUAAUACGUUACAGGAUGGACUGGCGUCGGAUCAGCCAGUUGGCUGGGUAAAGGAAAACCAAGGCAACGAUACGUAGCGGGUCUGAGAGGAUGAUCAGCCACACUGGAACUGAGAAACGGUCCAGACUCCUACGGGAGGCAGCAGUGGGGAAUAUUGGACAAUGGGCGAAAGCCUGAUCCAGCAAUACCGCGUGAGUGAAGAAGGACUUCGGGUUGUAAAGCCCUUUUGUUGGGAAAGAAAAGCAGCAGGUUAAUACGCCGCUGUUCUGACGGUACCCAAAGAAUAAGCACCGGCUAACUUCGUG
rnacentral:rRNA from 1 species